GGCUGGUGACCGGAUUUUAUAGUAUUGAUGAACAAAACAGUGCACUCACCGCCGGGGAAGACCAGCAGCCUCGGCAAAGAGCAAAUGUAACGUUGGGUUCUGGAUAUCCAAGACCAUAUGCAUGUCUGAGGAGCAUUUCUCUCACGUGUCAGCCCCUGAUAAUUCGUCAUGCAUAUUUUAACCAAGCUUUAGGUAAGAUUCAUUCUCGUAUAAUAUGUGCUGUUACUGUAUUAAGUUAGCAUCUACUGUCUUUUGAGCAAUUGUAAGCAGAAUAUGUUUCUUGCUUCAUAUUGCUUUUGGAAUCAACCAUUACGAGCAUGUAUGCACUACACCAGAAAAAUGCACUCACUUGUUUUUGCUCCGUAGGAUGACGAAGGAUGAAGUGCUCGAUAGCAAGGGCAUUCAAUACGAUUCCUCCAACAAUUAUCACAGCCUGGGGCAGAAGACAUACACACGUCAAUUUUGAAAAUCACUUCUUCUAUUCGUGGUUAUUUCACUCUGUCUGGUCAGGUAUCUCAAGCUCCUUUUUCAUUAUUUUUCUUGCGUUAGUUUGCCAACUGCAAGUCUUUCCUUUCAAAAUGCUACGACCUUAAUGAGUGCAAUACUGAGUCUUAUGUUCAGUGCAUACCUCGUUCAUGGCUGUGAGUAAUUUGUCCUGGCUAGAAGAAAACCGAGUUGCAGAAAUGCCUGAAUUGAAGAUUCACCCAUUUAUAUCCAUCUCUAUUUUUGUCAAAGAAUGCAAAGAUGUCUACUAUACAUGCAUGAUGCACGCAUUGUAAACGUUUAUCCAGAAAGCUAGCUUCUGUUGUAGCGUCAAGUAUGAUAGGUCCACAUUACUGAGUUUAUGCAUCAAAACCCUGCAAGAAAUUAAAGUAAUUAGUUUGAGUUUCAAUCAGAAACCCUGCAAAAAUGCUUGUAUGUUUGUAGUAUCUCCAAGUCUAACCGCAAUUUUCUCAUUGCUGGAUGACAUUCGGAUAAAUAGCUUUUGUCAACUGAAUUCGUCUGUAAUCUGGAAAAAUCCUUGUAAGUCCAAGUCUCGGAUGCUGCCAUCUAAGUCUUGCAGGAUGCGGUAUGGAUCAAUAUUUGAUUUGUCAGAAUCC
rnacentral:lncRNA from 1 species